AGAGAGAUAAGAGAGAGACUCU
rnacentral:snRNA from 1 species